rnacentral:rRNA from 1 species
UACGUAGGGGGCUAGCGUUGUCCGGAAUUAUUGGGCGUAAAGAGCGUGUAGGCGGCCAGAUAGGUCUGCUGUGAAAACUCGAGGCUCAACCUCGAGAUGUCGGCGGAAACCAUUUGGCUAGAGUCCGGAAGAGGAAAGUGGAAUUCCUGGUGUAGCGGUGAAAUGCGCAGAUAUCAGGAAGAACACCCGUGGCGAAGGCGGCUUUCUGGGACGGUACUGACGCUGAGACGCGAAAGCGUGGGGAGCGAACAGG